rnacentral:antisense_RNA from 1 species
CUUGACGGAGCCGAGCCACAGGGGGUCGCCGGCCCGUUCCUGGCCGUAGGUGGCGAGGAGGGCCUGUGCCUC